rnacentral:lncRNA from 1 species
CCAAUGAGAGGAAUGGUGAAGACUUUGCAGCCAUCUUUAAUGCUAUAUCUCCCCAUAAAUUUUUUCCACAAAAACAAAAAUAUAAAAAAAAGAAGCUGGCUCCUAAUUCAUUCUCCCCAGCUUAUAAAUGAUUUUCAAAGAACAUGCAGUCUGAGGAGAAAUUUUCAGACAAGGAUAUGCCUGUAAGAACCACAAACUUCUGUUAAAACUUAUAAACUAUUUAAGACAACGCCUGGUAGACACUAUAAACUAGAGCAGGGUUUCUCAACUCAGCACUGUUGACAUUUGGGACCAGAUAAUUCCUCAUUGUGCAGAGUAUUUUGUGCAUUGAAAGAUGUUCAGGAAUAUCUCCCACUAAAUGACAGAACGCUGCCCUCACUCCAAUUGUGACAACAAAAAAUGUCUCCAAACAUUUUCAGACGUCUCCUGAAGGGCAAAAGCACCCUCAAUUGAGAGACACUGAAUCAGACAAAAGAGAUUCUAAGGAUCUCUGUGGCAUUCUCCACAGAAGCUUGAAAUGCCCAGAGUGGAGAGAGGCCUAUCUCAAAAAGAACGGAUAGUGUAUCUUUGGUUGAAUAGAGUGGGCCAUAAUCUGAUGCAUAGAAUUUCCACAAAUUUUUAAGAAAGUUGUAUUAACAAAUGACUGCACCAAAUCAGAUCAGAAUAGAAUGAGAUUGCUCAAGUUGCCAAAAAACUUCUGGGCCUUUGUAUGGGCAAGUAGCAGUCUAAGAAAGCUACUACACUGCUAAGCACAGACCAUUUUUUAUAUAAAAGAAAAAAUGUGUGAAUGUGUGAAUCCAAGAGUUCAGAGAGAAGAGCCAAGAGCAAUGGAAAAAACGGAUUGGAGAGUCAUCCACUGGGAGCAGAAAUGGGCUUCAAAAAGGAGCAUUCCCUGCUCCCAAAUGUAAUGGUCUUGGCAGCAGGCACCUUUAGGGACUUCAGAGAAGUUGUAUAGCAACAGAUUGCGUGUACCUCUUGUUUCCCUUCCUUUUGAGUUGGAGAAUCUUUUGUGACUAUCCCAUUCCUAUCUCAUCAUCGGGUGUUGGAUGUGAGGAAGAUAGAUAACUUGGCUUUUUAUUUCAUAAGUUUCGGAAUCAAAAAUAACUAUAUCAAAGGGUCCUCAUUAAAUAUGAUUGUAGAUUUUAUGGUCUGGGAUUUUGAGGUUGAUACCAUGAUUAACAGUGAG